GACAAGGUGGCCGAGUGGUUAAGGUGAUGGACUGCUAAUCCAUUGUGCUCUGCACGCAUGGGUUCGAAUCCCAUCCUUGUUG
rnacentral:tRNA from 1 species